AGAGUUUGAUUCUGGCUCAGAACGAACGCUGGCGGCAGGCCUAAUACAUGCAAGUCGAGCGUGAUCUGACGACUUCGGUUGUCAGUGAAAGCGGCGGACGGGUGAGUAACGCGUGGGAAUGUGCCCUUUAGUACGGAAUAGCCCGGGGAAACUUGGAUUAAUACCGUAUGUGCCCUACGGGGUAAAGAUUUAUCGCUAAAGGAUCGGCCCGCGUCUGAUUAGGUAGUUGGUGGGGGUAAUGGCUCACCAAGCCGACNAUCAGUAGCUGGUUUGAGAGGAUGAUCAGCCACACUGGGACUGAGACACGGCCCAGACUCCUACGGGAGGCAGCAGUAAGGAAUCUUGGACAAUGGGGGCAACCCUGAUCCAGCCAUGCCGCGUGAGUGAAGACGGCCCUCGGGUUGUAAAGCUCUUUCAACGGGUGAAGAUAAUGACGGUAACCGUAGAAGAAGCCCCGGCUAACUCCGUGCCAGCAGCCGCGGUAUACCGGAGGGGCUUAGCGUUGUUCGGAAUUACUGGGCGUAAAGCGCAUGU
rnacentral:rRNA from 1 species